rnacentral:rRNA from 1 species
AAUCAACGCUGGCGGCGUGCCUCAGACAUGCAAGUCGAACGAUUAAACUCGCCUUCGGGUGAGAUAUAAAGUGGCGCACGGGUGAGUAACACGUAGGGUAAUGUGCCUUUGGGUGGGGAAUAACAGUCGGAAACGACUGCUAAUACCGCAUAAUGCAGCGGCUCCUUCGGGAGACAGUUGUUAAAGAUUUAUCGCCUAAAGAGCAGCCUGCGGCAGAUUAGCUAGNGGUAAGGUAACGGCUUACCAAGGCAACGAUCUGUAUCCGACCUGAGAGGGUGGUCGGACACACUGACACUGAAUAACGGGUCAGACUCCUACGGGAGGCAGCAGUCGGGAAUUUUGGGCAAUGGGCGCAAGCCUGACCCAGCAACGCCGCGUGAAGGAUGAAGUUUUUCGGAAU